CUCUCAGCUGGCUGGCUGGCCAGAGAGUGCCAAGGAUCCUGUAGCCCAAAGAGAAGGAGCAGGGAAGCAGAGAUAGCACAGCAUGUUUCAGCAAACCUGAAAUAAAAUACAUUUAAACAUGAACUGGGGGUAGCUGGCUAUCCUGAGUCUCUGAGUCUCUGAGUCUCACUAAGUACUUCAUAUCAUUUUCCUUGAAACUAAAGGAGAUUCGCUUGAUUUUCACCUGAAGCUCUCUCCAGGUGUAUUUUUAAUAGUGUAUAAUAGUGUGUAGGUGUUCUCAAAGCCCCACAGCAGCUCACCAUGAACAGUAACUGGAACCACAUACUGAAGGGGACCAGUGAAGAACAAUUACAGACUUUCAUUUUCCUUGUACACUUCAGGGGAAUUCACAGCAGAGUAUCUUGAAUGAAAAGCAACAUGGAAGAGAGAGCUCAUUUUCCCCUUUGGAAAAUGAAAUGGCAGACUGGCUACCUCGUGGCUAUUCCUUAUGGAUUAUUUAAUCAAAAAUAAAAAUAUUUCAGUGAGUAAAGAGAACAAUUAUACGUGUGUGUUAUAUUUAUCCUCAACUCACAGGACCUUUAACGCAUUUGCUUCUUUGCUGAUUCAGCAAAUAUCUGCAAUGCUCCCAGGACAUUGCCAAAUACCACACGAGGCUCCGGGGAACAGUGAACUCCCUGUUCGCGUAGGUUUUCAGGGAGGAGAGAAACCAAUAAAUAAAUAUGUAGACUAUAGAACGUUAGCACACAAUUUAGAACGCCAGGACUGUGGGAGGUGACUGACAAGCUCUGGGGCCAGACUGGAGCUCAUCCUCGGCCUUGCUGUUUGUUUCCUUAUUCCUCACAGGUUGUACGCUCAGACAGACGCCUUCCCCGACGACUCAAAGCCGGGCCUCUUGGACUCAGUUCUCUCCAGGCUCGCUUUGGACAGUCAUAAAUCAUGCGGCCCUCAACCCAACUCUAGCUCAGGACGCUGGUGCAGGGAGUCCGAGAACUUGGUAGCGUACACAGUUUUGAGCAUGAGAAAACAAACCCAAGGAAGAAAACAGCGAGGGGGACGGCGGCCGAGAGCUUCUAUCUCAGGGGUUAUUGUGUAAUUCAAAUGCUGAUUUCUGUUAUCUCCCACAUCUGGUUGCAAUCCUUGUUCUGAGGAUCUCCUGCCUCAAUGUGUAAACACUGCUCUCCAAUUAUCCCGUUAUGCCAAUAAAGCAGCUUACAGCCAAUCGCUGAUCAGGGGAGAGAAUACCCUGGACUUCCUGCCAGCCAAGGGAGGAGGAAUGAGAAGAGGAAGAGAUUCAACCAUAUCAGAUGUCCAGAAGAGACUGGAAGAGAGCUCAGCAGGAAGCUACAAAGUCUGAAGUACAGAGAAGUAAAGAACUUGCUGCCAUUCGCUCACAUGGAAAUGAGCUGGCAUGAAUGCAUACAGAUGAUUCAUUCAGUGAGAAUUUGGAUACUGGUGGAAAUCCAGGAUGAUCUUUUCUAGUUCCAUCCAUUUGCCUGCAACUUUCAUGAUUUCCUUGUUUUUACUACUAAUUGCUUAGUAGUAUUCCACUGUGUAAAGAGACCGAUACUCCAACCAAGAAGCACGCAUGGAGAGGACCUAGACGCCCUGCUCAGAUGAAGCCUGGAGGCUGCUCAGUUUCCAAGCUGUUCACUGCGAUUCUGGUAGAAGCUGCUCUGAGGGUGACUGAUGACCAUGGCGCGAGGAAGUCCCUCAACCUUCAUGUUCUACAAGUGUUUCCCCACACCCUCCAUCAAACUGCUGUCCCAUGUGUCUCACCUUGAGCCACACGUCUCUCCACACCAAAAAAUUAAAGCCUCAGGACUUGAAAAGAAUUGACUGGUCAGAGUGAGAAAGUUGACUCAGCCCAAGCCAGCCAGGCACCAGAAGCCCCAAAUCUCACUUGGCCUACUGCUCCUUCUGCCUACGCAUGCUUACUGCAAUGCUGGCAAUACUGGGAGCUGAAGAGAACAGAGCAUCAGCAUGGUUUAGACUGCACUGUACAUGCCACAGAAAUAAUGUAAAAUGAAGGACUCACUGUAGUUCAUCCGCAAGCACCCGGACAUCUUUAUAUCCAGAAUACCUUCACUGCAUAUUUUCUAUCAGUAAUGUAUACCUUUUAUUUUAUAUUUUAGUAUAAUUUUUUUUCAAAAACUGUGUUCACCAAUAAAUUCUAUGAAUGGGCAAAUGAA